rnacentral:tRNA from 1 species
GGGUCGGUAGCUCAGUCGGUAGAGCACUGGACUUUUAAUCCAUUGGUCGUGGGUUCGAUUCCCACCCGACCCACCA